AUUGAACGCUGGCGGCAGGCCUAACACAUGCAAGUCGAGCGGAGCGGCGGACGGGUGAGUAAUGCCUAGGAAUCUGCCUGGUAGUGGGGGAUAACGUCCGGAAACGGGCGCUAAUACUGCAUACUAUCAGAUGAGCCUAGGUCGGAUUAGCUAGUUGGUGGGGUAAAGGCCUACCAAGGCGACGAUCCGUAACUUGUCUGAGAGGAUGAUCAGUAACACUGGAACUGAGACACGGCCCAGACGCCUACGGGAGGCAGCAGUGGGGAAUAUAGGACAGUGGGCGAAAGCCUGAUCCAACCAUGCCGCGUGUGUGAAGGAGGUCUUCGGAUUGUAAAGCACUUUAAGUUGGGAGGCGUUACCAACAGAAUAAACACCGGCUAACUACGUGCCAGCAGCCGCGGUAAUUC
rnacentral:rRNA from 1 species